GACGAACGCUGGCGGCGUGCUUAACACAUGCAAGUCGAACGGAAAGGCCCUGCUUUUGUGGGGUGCUCGAGUGGCGAACGGGUGAGUAACACGUGAGUAACCUGCCCUUGACUUUGGGAUAACUUCAGGAAACUGGGGCUAAUACCGGAUAGGAGCUCCUGCUGCAUGGUGGGGGUUGGAAAGUUUCGGCGGUUGGGGAUGGACUCGCGGGUUAUCAGCUUGUUGGUGGGGUAGUGGCUUACCAAGGCUUUGACGGGUAGCCGGCCUGAGAGGGUGACCGGCCACAUUGGGACUGAGAUACGGACCAGACUGCUACGGGAGGCAGCAGUGGGGAAUAUUGCACAAUGGGCGGAAGCCUGAUGCAGCAACGCCGCGUGCGGGAUGACGGCCUUCGGGUUGUAAACCGCUUUCGCCGGUGACGAAGCGUGAGUGACGGUAAUGGGUAAAGAAGCACCGGCUAACUACGUG
rnacentral:rRNA from 1 species